AACUUACCAGGUCAAGACAUGGGCGUGAUUGACAGGCUAAUGACUUUUCUCGAUUCCAUGGAUGGUGGUGCAUGGUCGCACUUAGUUGGUGCAGUGAUUUGUCAGGUUUAUUCCGGUAACGAACGAGACCUCGGCCUUGUAAAUAGCUAUGCUGCUUACAGGGACAUUGGCGGCUACGCCAAGGAAGCUCGAGGCAAUUGCAGAUCUGGAAUGCCCUUAGAUGUCCUGGGUCGCACGCGUGCUACAAUGACGCCACGAACGAGCUUGCGUGAUGAAAGUUACGCAUAAUCAGCAGUCGGCGUCUUAAGGGAUAGUCUCUUGUAACUGUGGGACUCCAACUAGGAAUGUCUCGUAAGCACAAGUCAACAUCUUGUGUUGAUUACGUCCCUGCUCUUUGUACACACCGCCCGUCGCUCCUACCGAUCGAGUGUUUAGGUGAAUUUGAUGGACGUAAGGAAGUCAAAUAAACCUGAGCACUAGAGAAGAGAAGUCGAUCACGC
rnacentral:rRNA from 1 species